CACUUAUCACGAGUGGUGGAGGGACUGGCCCGAUGAAACCCGGCAACCGUUAAGCUUUUGCUUAAAAUGGUGCCAAUUCCUGCAAAGCAAUGUCUUUGGGAGAUGAGUU
rnacentral:ncRNA from 2 species